UCCUGAAGGGAAAGAGUCAUCCCCAGCAGGCUGUUGGAGCAGAAGGGAAGCGGCUGUCAGAGCGCUCCAGGAAGGGUGUGGAAUGUGUGCGGGACCAGGUUGCAGCAGCAGCAAAAGACAAGCCAGAGAAGCGUGAGCUCAGGAGAACUUUUGAGGUGGAACCUGAAGGGAGGAGUGUCCAGAGAAUCUUUAGGAAAG